AUGGAUGAAGCUCUACAUAACCUUCAAGUUGUCGAGGAAGACUAUGGUGUGUAUGCAGGCGUUAUAGAGAUUCAGUUUGAGGAAGAAAAGCUUGAUGAUUUAGCAGAUGAAGCCAUGUAUGAUUCAGCACCAGAAGAAGACAUGUAUGUGGAGCAAGAGCAACAAGAUAAUGAGCAAGUUCAUCAUGAAGACAAAUACAAGAAUUUAACAGAUUUGCAAAGGACUGGUAUUUAUGAAGAGUUGCUAGCAAGAAGUGUCAAUCGGAAAUUAAAGAAGACCACAACCAAAGAAGUUGCAAACAUGUUCCAUGUUUUAGUGUAG
rnacentral:rRNA from 1 species